GGCACUGUGGCGGAGUGGUUAUCGCGUCAGCCUAGAAAGCUGAUCCCUUCGGGGGCCUGUGUUCGAAUCACAGCGGUGUCG
rnacentral:tRNA from 1 species